rnacentral:rRNA from 1 species
GAUGAACGCUGGCGGCGUGCCUAACACAUGCAAGUCGACGGGGUUGAGGCGAGAGGUAACUCGAGCUUCUACCUAGCGGCGGACGGGUGAGUAACGCUGGGCAACCUGCCUCAAGGUUUGGGAUAACAGCCCGAAAGGGCUGCUAAUACCGGAUAUGCCUAUGGCCUCGCAUGGGGCUAUGAGCAAAGGGGAAACCCGCCUUGAGAUGGGCCCGCGUCCCAUCAGCUAGUUGGUGAGGUAACAGCUCACCAAGGCGACGACGGGUAGCCGGCCUGAGAGGGUGACCGGCCACACUGGGACUGAGACACGGCCCAGACUCCUACGGGGGGCAGCAGUGGGGGAUCUUGCACAAUGGGCGAAAGCCUGAUGCAGCGACGCCGCGUGAGCGAAGAAGGCCUUCGGGUUGUAAAGCUCUGUCUGGAGGGACGAACAAAAUGACGGUACCUCCGGAGGAAGCCACGGCUAACUACGUG